UUUUUUUUUCUUUACUGAAUGUAGUUAGCAGCUACCUUUUCAUCUGUUGAACCCACACGGGCACACACAGGACACAGAAAUGGAUUGGGAUCAGGACAUUUAUCACAGCCCGUCAGAGCAUCAAUAAGCAAGCCGCUUUCCCGCUUUCACAUAUCAGGCAGGUCGAAUUGGGUCGCGAAUCAGUCGCCUUGCCUCUUUGCAUUCUAUUUUUUUGGCUGCUGCGCAGCAAACCGCAUUUAUUUCAAGAAUUUGUGGCAAUUUCCGCAUUUUGGCCGACCAGAAAUCGACAGCCAAAGGGUGACUUAAAUAUGUCGAAUAUGUGUGUAAAUUUUUAGCAAUUUGCGGUCUCUCCCAGUUUAGUCAAUUUGUAUAAGUUACCACACCUGUAUAAAUUCUGCACAAAACAAGCCUCACUGUUCGCGGAUUGCACAAGUGCAAUGGCAGAGUGGAAGGCCAGCACGGAGUGCUUGACACGAUGGCCAAGUUGCCAUUUUCCACUUGAGUCCUUGAAGGAGUGCAAGAAAAACGAAGGGGACAAGGACUCGGCCUAGACAGCCAGAAAAUGUCUGACUUCGCGUGCUGCUCGCUAUAAAAAUAUACUUAAAAUACGUACAUAGAUAUAAUAAACAUAUAUAAUAUAUAUA